rnacentral:rRNA from 1 species
GACGAACGCUGGCGGCGUGCUUAACACAUGCAAGUCGAACGGAAAGGCCCUGCUUUUGUGGGGUGCUCGAGUGGCGAACGGUGAGUAACACGUGAGUAACCUGCCCUUGACUUUGGGAUAACUUCAGGAAACUGGGGCUAAUACCGGAUAGGAGCUCCUGCUGCAUGGUGGGGUUGGAAAGUUUCGGCGGUUGGGAUGGACUCGCGGCUUAUCAGCUUGUUGGUGGGGUAGUGGCUUACCAAGGCUUUGACGGUAGCCGGCCUGAGAGGGUGUCCGGCCACAUUGGGACUGAGAUACGGCCCAGACUCCUACGGGAGGCAGCAGUGGGGAAUGUUGCACAAUGGGCGGAAGCCUGAUGCAGCAACGCCGCGUGCGGGAUGACGGCCU